rnacentral:rRNA from 1 species
UGCCAGCCGCCGCGGUAAUACGUAUGGUGCAAGCGUUAUCCGGAAUCACUGGGCGUAAAGGGAGCGUAGGCGGUUUUGCAAGUCAGAAGUGAAAGGCUACGGCUCAACCGUAGUAAGCUUUUGAAACUGCAAGACUAGAGUGCAGGAGAGGCAAGUGGAAUUCCUAGUGUAGAGGUGAAAUUCGUAGAUAUUAGGAGGAACACCAGUGGCGAAGACGACCACCUGGCCAGAUACUGACGCUGAGAUGCGAAAGCGUGGGGAGCAAACAGGAUUAGAUA